rnacentral:lncRNA from 1 species
GCUUCCAUGGUGUCCUCAGAGGACAGUGGGGAGGGCUUGUGGGCUGAGGGCAGAGCCCUGUCCUGGAAGAACAGAUAGGGGGUGCAGUACAAGGCAGUGGAUGGCCUUUGCAGACCUGAGCCUUUUCGAAUGUCUUAGCCAAAAGCAAAACUGAAGAAAACAGGCUGUAUGGUGUCCUCACAUGUGCAAGACGAAAUGACAUACAGUACUCUGCACAGAGCAAAGGAAGAGGCAGGGGCAUGGUAAGUUUGAAGCCAGCCUGGGCCACAAAGUGAGGCCCUUCCAAAACAUAAGGAAGGGGAGCAGGUGUGCUCUGGAUGUGACAGGCCUUCACUAGCAUGGAGUCUGGGAUACUGUUCUGCACAUUCUCGGUGGUCUGUUUAUCACCCUGGAUCCUCCAUGUGGCUCUCAAAGGUUUAUAUGCUGAGUGCUUGAUCUUUAACUCUGAGAAAUGGGCACACGCAUGUACACACACAAUCAGAUCAAGGCCAUUGGUUUUCUUACUCAAACUUGGGUAGUUAGACUUAGAGGCAAGCCUUCCAGACCAUCUUGCUACCCCUUCUAAAGCUCUCUCUGUAGACUCUUCCUUUUCUCAUCAGCCUUGACUUCUUUUGGUCAAGAUAGAUCAAUUAGAACUUUCAUUUUUCUCCAUUUUCCUAAGCUCUGAUGCUAUCUUUCCUUUCCCUGUUUUCCUUAUGUAAUAUCUUCUGUUUUGGUUUUUGAAACUUUCUUUUCUGUUUUAAUAUUCUUACUCAUUUUCACUUUCUCCUUUUCUCCCCAGUUCUGUCUCUCACUGGAGUCAGCUCAGCGUCUUGCAUAUGCUAAGCAGGCCCUCACCUUCUGAGCCACAGCCUCCUAAGAUUAAUGUCUAAGACUUAUUUUUGGUUUUUCAAGAUGGGGUUUCUCCUUGUAGCCCUGGCUGUCCUGGAGCUCUCUCUAUAGACCAGGCUGGCCCUGAACUCACAGAGCUCCUCCUGCCUCUGCCUCCCAAGAGCUGGGAUUAAAGGUGUGUGUCUGUUCUUCCCAUAGCAUGCCACUCUCAGUUCCACACAGCCACAGACAGGUGGCUUCCACACCACCUGUGUUGGUGUGACAUGUCUUUAUGUGUGCUACAAACCCCUGUGCUGUCUGGUGCUCUUUACUGCUCUUCAGUCUCACCAAAGAGAUGCUGAGGCGCACACGCUAGGGUACAGCUGCUUCACAGCUGUGGACAGGGCUGGCAGCACUUUUCUCAGGACUAUGUCUGACCAGUCCUAUCUUCUGCAGGAAGCUGGGGAAGAGGCCAGAGCCUCAAGCCUAAACUAGGCUCUUCUUAGAAAUCCUGGAGGGGAUAAAGUACAGAGUGAAUCCUUCUCUCUAAGUGUUACUCCACCACAGCAAUUAGGGCCUGCACAUAAAAGGAGCUGAUCUGGGCUAAAGAGAUGGCUCAGUGGUUAAAAGCACUGACUGCUCUUCCAGAGGUCCUGAGUUCAAUUCUCAGCAACCACAUGGUGACUCACAACCAGCUGUAAUGGGGAUUUGAUGCCUUCUUCUGGUGUGUCUGAAGACAGCAACAGUGUACUCAUGUACAUGAAAUAAAUAUAUCUUUUUUUUUAAGCG